AUGAUCAGUGUGAAUAGUUACUUUAGAAUCAACAAUAUAAGGUCUAAACUUAUCACAAGCAAAUACAACCGCUAAGAAUUCUUUUUCAGUAGUAGCAUAAUUUCUUUGAGCAUUGUCUAGAGUUUUACUAGCAUAUUGAAUAACAUUUAGUUUCUUAUCAACUCUUUGUCCUAGAACAACACCUACGGCAUAAUCACUAGCAUCACACAUAAUUUCAAAGGGUAAAUUCCAAUCAGGUGGCUGAACAAUAGGUGCAGAAAUCAAUGCUUUAUUAAGUAUUUCAAAUGCUUCUGCACAAUCAUUAUCAAGGACAAUGGUAUAUCUUUUUGUAAUAAAUUAGUCAGAGGCCGAGAAAUUUUUGAGAAGUCCUUAAUGAACCUCCUAUAAAAACCGGCAUGACCAAGGAAACUUUUUAUACCUUUGAUGUUCUUGGGACAUGGCAUCUUUUUAAUAGCAUCAACCUUGGCUUUAUCAACUUCAAUACCUCUUUCAGAAACUUUAUGACCCAAGAUAAUACCUUCAUUAACCAUAAAGUGGCACUUUUCUGUUGGGUAACGUAGCAGAAAUUCAAAAUUUUCCUACGUGUCACCAAGAUCUAUCUAUGGAGAAACCAGCUACGCGUAGAAGGAGAGUGCAUCUACAUACCCUUGUAGAUCGCUAAGCGGAAGCAUUCAAGUGAACGGGGUUGAUGAAGUCGUACUCGUCGUGAUUCAAAUCACCGAUGAUCAAGUGCCGAACGCACGGCACCUCCGCGUUCAACACACGUACAGCCCGGUGACGUAUCCCACGCCUUGAUCCAGCAAGGAGAGAGGGAGAGGUUAAGGAAGACCCCAUCCAGCAGUAGCACAACGGCGUGGUGGUGGUGGAGGAGCGUGGCAAUCCUACAGGGCUUCGCCAAGCACCACGGGAGAAGAGGAGUACUUGAGAGGGGGGGAGGGCUGCGCCAGAACUUCGUGUAUAGCUCCCAUGCACCUCCCCACUAUAUAUAGGGGUGGAGGGGCUGGUUUCUUGCCCUCCAAGUCCAUUGGGGCGUUGGCCAAGGUGGGAGGAAAGAAAUCUCAUUAUUUCCUUCCCCACCGAUUGUUAUCCCCCCUUUUUAGGGAUCUUGAUCUUAUCCCUUCGGGAUAUGAUCUUAUUCCUUCUAAGGGGGGAUCUUGGUGCGCCUUGACCAGGGGUGUGGGGCCUUGCCCCCACUACCCACGUCCAUGUGGGUCCCCCCAUGCAGGUGGGCCCCACUCCGGAACCUUCUAGAACCUUCCCGGUACAAUACCGAAAAAUCCCGAACAUUUUCCGGUGGCCAAAAUAGGACUUCCCAUAUAUAAAUCUUUACCUCUGGACCAUUCCGGAACUCCUCGUGACGUCCGGGAUCUCACCCGGGACUCCGAACAACAUUCGGUAACCACAUACAAACUUCCUUUAUAACCCUAGCGUCAUCGAACCUUAAGUGUGUAGACCCUACGGGUUCGGGAGACAUGUAGACAUGACCGAGACGUUCUCCGGUCAAUAACCAACAGCGGGAUCUGGAUACCCAUGAUGGCUCCCACAUGUUCCACAAUGAUCUCAUCGGAUGAACCACGAUGUCAAUGACUUAAUCAAUCCCGUAUUCAAUUCCCUUUGUCUAUCAGUAUGUUACUUGCCUGAGAUUCGAUCGUCGGUAUCCAAUACCUUGUUCAAUAUCGUUACCGGCAAGUCACUUUACUCGUUCCGUAACACAUCAUCCCGUGAUCAACUCCUUGGUCACAUUGCGCAUAUGAUGAUGUCCUACCGAGUGGGCCCAGAGAUACCUCUCCGUUUACACGGAGUGACAAAUCCCAGUCUCGAUCCGCAUAAAACAAUAGAUACUUUCGGAGAUACCUGUAGUGCACCUUUAUAGUCACCCAGUUACGUUGUGACGUUUGAUACACCCAAAGCACUCCUAUGGUAUCCAGGAGUUACACGCUCUCAUGGUCGAAGGAAGAGAUACUUGACAUUGGCAAAGCUCUAGCAAAUGAACUACACGAUCUUUUGUGCUAGUCUUAGGAUUGGGUCUUGUCCAUCACAUCAUUCUCCUAAUGAUGUGAUCCCGUUAUCAACGACAUCCAAUGUCCAUAGCCAGGAAACCAUGACUAUCUGUUGAUCACAACGAGCUAGUCAACUAGAGGCUCACUAGGGACAUAUUGUGGUCUAUGUAUUCACACGUGUAUUACGAUUUCCGGAUAAUACAGUUAUAGCAUGAAUAAAAGACAAUUAUCAUGAACAAGGAAAUAUAAUAAUAAUACUUUUAUUAUUGCCUCUAGGGCAUAUUUCCAACAGUCUCCCACUUGCACUAGAGUCAAUAAUCUAGUUCACAUCGCCAUGUGAUUAACACUCACAGGUCACAUCGCCAUUCGACUAAUACCCAAGAGUUUACUAGAGUCAAUAGUCUAGUUCACAUCACUAUGUGAUUAACACUCAAUGAGUUUUAUGUUUGAUCAUGUUGCUUGUGAGAGAGGUUUUAGUCAACGGGUCUGAACCUUUCAGAUCCGUGUGUGCUUUACAAAUCUCUAUGUCAUCUCCUAGAUGCAGCUACCACACUCUAUUUGGAGCUAUUCCAAACAACUGUUCUACUUGGAGCUAUUCUAAAUUAUUGCUCCAUUAUAUGUAUCCGGUCUCUCUAUUCAGAGCUAUCCGGAUAGGUGUCAAGCUUGCAUCGUCGUAACCUUUACGACGAACUCUUUUACCACCUCCAUAAUCGAGAAAAUUCCUUAGUCCACUAGUUACUAAGGAUAACUUUGACCGCUGUCCUGUGAGCCAUUCUUGGAUCACUCUUGUACCCCUUGACUGACUCAUGGCAAGGCACACUUCAGGUGCGGUACACAUCAUAGCAUACUUAAGAGCCUACGUCUUAAGCAUAGGGGACGACCUUCGUCCUUUCUCUCUAUUCUGCCGUGGUCGAGCUUUAAGUCUUAACUUCGUACCUUACAACUCAGGCAAGAACUCCUUCUUUGACUGGUCCAUCUUGAACACCUUCAAGAUCAUGUCAAGGUAUGUGCUCAUUUGAAAGUAUUAUUAAGCAUUUUGAUCUAUCCUUAUAGAUCUUGAUGCUCAAUGUUCAAGUAGCUUAAUCCAGGCUUUCCAUUGAAAAACACUUUCAAAAUAACCCUAUAUGCUUUCCAGAAAUUCUACGUCAUUUCUGAUCAACAAUAUGUCAACAACAUAUACUCAUCAGAAAUUCUAUAGUGCUCCCACUCACUUCUUUGGAAAUACAAGUUUCUCAUAAACUCUGUACAAACCCAAAAUUUUUGAUCAUCAUCAAAGCAUACAUUCCAACUCCGAGAUGCUCACUCCAGUCCUUAGAAGGAUUGCUGGAGCUUUGCAUACUUAUUAGCAUCUUUCGGGAUUGACAAAACCUUCCGGUUGUAUCACAUACAACCUUUCCUCAUUAAAAUCGUCGAGGAAACAAUGUUUUGACAUCCUAUCUGCAAGAUUUCAUAAAUAAUGCAGUAAUCGCUAAUAUAAUUCCAACAGACUCUUAGCAUCGCUACGAGUGAGAAAAUCUCAUCGUAGUCAACUCCUUGAACUUGUCGGAAAACAUCUUAACGACAAGUCGAGCUUUCUUAAUGGUGACAUUUACCAUCAUUGUCCGUCUUCCUUUUGAAAUCCAUCUGUACUCAUUAGCCUUACGACCAUCGAGCCGUUCUGCCAAAGUCUACACUUUGUUUUCAUACAUGGAUCCUCUCUCGGAUUUUAUGGCCUCAAGCCAUUUAUCGGAAUCCGGGCCCACCAUCGCUUCUCCAUAGCUCGUAGGUUCAUUGUUGUCUACCAACAUGACCUUCAAGACAGGAUUACGUACCACUCUGAAGUAGUACACAUCCUUGUCAUCCUACGAGGUUUGGGAGUGACUUGAUCCGAAGUUUCAUGAUCAAUAUCAUAAGCUUCCACUUCAAUUGGUGUAGGUGCCACAUGAACAACUCCUUGUGCCCUGUCACACACUAGUUGAAGAGACGGUUCAAUAACCUCAUCAAGUCUCCACCAUCCUCCCACUCAAUUCUUUCGAGAGAAACUUUUCCUCGAGAAAGGACCCGAUUCUAGAAACAAUCCAUAUUGCUUUCGGAUCUGAAUUAGGAGGUAUACCCAACUGUUUUGGGUUUCCUAUGAAGAUGCAUUUUAUCCGCUUUGGGUUUGAGCUUAUCAACCUGAAACUUUUUCAUAUAAGCGUCGCAGCCCCAAACUUUUAAGAAACGACAACUUAGGUUUCUCUAAACCAUAAUUCAUACGGUGUCAUCUCAUCGGAAUUACGUGGUGCCCUAUUUAAAGUGAAUGUGGUUGUCUCUAAUGCCUAACCCAUGAACGAUAGUGGUAAUUCGAUAAGAGACAUCAUGGUACACACCAUAUCCAAUAGGGUGCAACUAUGAUGUUCGGACACACCAUCACAUUAUGGUGUUCCAGGCGGUAUUAAUUGCGAAACAAUUUCCACAAUGUCUUAAUUGUGUGCCAAAACUCGUAACUCAGAUAUUCAUCUCUAUGAUCAUAUCAUAGACAUUUUAUCCUCUUGUCACAAUGAUCUGCUACUUCACUCUGAAAUUACUUGAACCAUUCAAUAAUUCAGACUUGUGUUUCAUCAAGUAAAUAUACUCAACAUUUACUCGAAUCAUCUGUGAAGUAAGAACAUAAUGAUAUUCACUGCAUGCCUCAGCACUCAUUCGACUGCACACAUCAAAAUGUGUUACUUCCAACAAGUUGCUAUCUUGUUCCAUCUUACUGAAAAUGAGGCUUUUCAGUCAUCUUGCCCAUGUGGUAUGAUUUGCAUAUCUCAAGUGAUUCAAAGUCAAGUGAGUCCGAACGAUCCAUUUGCAUGGAGUUUCUUCAUGCAUAUACACCAAUAGACAUGGUUCGCAUGUCUCAAACUUUUCAAAAACGAGUGAGUCCAAAGAUCCAUCAACAUGGAGCUUCUUCAUGCGUUUUAUACCAUUAUGACUUACAUGGCAGUGCCACAAGUAAGUGGUACUAUCAUUACUAUCUUAUAUCUUUUGGCAUGAAAAUGUGUAUCACUACGACCGAGAUUCAAUAAACCAUUCCUUUAGGUGCAAGACCAUUGAAGGUAUUAUUCAAAAAUAGAGUAACCAUUAUUCUCCUUAAAUGAAUAACCGUAUUGCGAUAGACAUAAUCCAAUCAUGUCUAUGCUCAACGCAAACACCAAUCUCGGUGGUAGAGGGAGCGUGCGAUGCUUGAUCAUAUCAACCUUGGAAACACUUCCAACAUAUAUCGUCAGCUCACCUUUAGUUAGUCUCCGUUUAUUCCGUAGCUUUUAUUUCGAGUUACUAACACUUAGCAACCGAACCGGUAUCCAAUACCCUGGUGCUACUAGGAGUACUAGUAAAGUACACAUUAACAUAAUGUAUAUCCAAUAUACUUCUAUCGACCUUGCCAGCCUUCUCAUCUACCAAGUAUCUAGGGUAAUGCUGCUCCAGUGGUUGUUCCCCUUAUUACAGAAGCACUUAGUCUCGGGUUUGGGUUCAACCUUGGGUUUCUUCACUAGAGCAGCAGCUGAAUUGCCGUUUCAUGAAGUAUCCCUUUGUUCCCUUGCCCUUCUUGAAACUAGUGGUUUCACCAAUCAUCAACAAUUGAUGCUCCUUCUUGAUUUCUACUUUCGCGGUGUCAAACAUCAUGAAUAUUUCAAGGAUCAUCAUAUCUAUCCCUGAUAUGUUAUAGUUAAUCACGAAGCUCUAGCAGCUUGGUGGCAAUGACUUUGGGGAAACAUCACUAUCUCAUCUGGAGGAUCAACUCCCACUCGAUUCAAGUGAUUGUUGUGCUCAGACAAUCUGAGCACAAGCUCAACGAUUGAGCUUUUCUCCCUUAGUUUGCAGGCUGAGAAAAUCGUCGGAGGUCUUAUACCUCUUGACGUGGGCACGAGCCUGAAAUCCCAAUUCCAGCCCUCGAAACAUCUCAUAUGUUCCGCGACGUUUCGAAAACGUCUUUGGUGCCUCUACUUAAACCAUUUAAUUGAACUAUCACGUAGUUAUCAAAACGUGUAUGUCCGAUGUUCGCAACAUCGACAAACGACGUUGGGGUUCAGCACACUGAGCGGUGCAUUAAGGACAUAAGCUUUCUACUGAUCGCAUAAUCGCUACUAUCAACUUUCAACUAUAUUUUCUCUAGGAACAUAUCUAAACAGUGGAACUAAAGCGCGAGCUUACAACAUAAUUUGCAAAAGGUCUUUUGACUAUGUUCAGGAUAAUUAAGUUCAUCUUAUGAACUCCCACUUAGAUAGACAUCCCUCUGGUCAUCUAAGUGAUCACAUGAUCCGAGUCAACUAGGCCGUGUCCGAUCAUCACGUGAGACGGACUAGUCAUCAUCGGUGAACAUCUUCAUGUUGAUCGUAUCUACCAUACGACUCAUGCUCGACCUUUCGGUCUCCGUGUUCCGAGGCCAUGUCUGCACAUGCUAGGCUCGUCAAGUUAACCCUAAGUGUUUUCGCUGUGUAAAACUGUCUUACACCCGUUGUAUGUGAACGUAAGAAUCCAUCACACCCGAUCAUCACGUGGUGCUUAGAAGCGACGAACUGUAGCAACGGUGCACAGUUAGGGGAGAACACUUCUUGAAAUUUUGUAAGGGAUCAUCUUAUUUACUACCGUCGUCCUAAGCAAACAAGAUGCAUAAACAUGAUAAACAUCGCAUGCAAUCAAAUAGUGACAUGAUAUGGCCAAUAUCAUUUUGCUCCUUUUGAUCUUCAUCUUCGGGGCUCCAUGAUCAUCAUCGUCACCGGCACGACACCAUGAUCUCCAUCAUCAUGAUCUCCAUCAUCGUGUCUUCAUGAAGUUGUCACGCCAACGACUACUUCUACUUCUAUGACUAACGCGUUUAGCAAUAAAGUAAGUAGUUUACAUGGCGUUCUUCAAUGACACGCAGGUCAUACAAUAAAUAAAGACAACUCCUAUGGCUCCUGCCGGUUGUCAUACUCAUCGACAUGCAAGUCGUGAAUCCUAUUACAAGAACAUGAUCAAUCUCAUACAUCACAUAUCAUUCAUCACAUUCUUCUUGGCCAUAUCACAUCACAUAGCAUACCCUGCAAAAACAAGUUAGACGUCCUCUAAUUGUUGUUGCAUGUUUUACGUGGCUGCUAUGGGUUUCUAGCAAGAACGUUUCUUACCUACGCAAGACCACAACGUGAUAUGCCAAUUGCUAUUUACCCUUCAUAAGGACCCUUUUCAUCGAAUCCGUUCCGACUAAAGUGGGAGAGACUGGCACCCGCUAGCCACCUUAUGCACCAAGUGCAUGUCAAUCGGUGGAACCUGUCUCACGUAAGAGUACGUGUAAGGUCGGUCCGGGCUGCUUCAUCCCACAAUACCGUCGAAACAAGAUUCGACUAGUAACGGUAAGCAUAUUGAACAACAUCAACGCCCACAACUACUUUGUGUUCUACUCGUGCAAAGAAUCUACGCAAUAGACCUAGCUCAUGAUGCCACUGUUGGGUAACGUAGCAAAAAUUCAAAAUUUUCCUACGUGUCACCAAGAUCUAUCUAUGGAGAAACCAGCUACGAGUAGAAGGAGAGUGCAUCUACAUACCCUUGUAGAUCGCUAAGCGGAAGCGUUCAAGUGAACGGGGUUGAUGAAGUCGUACUCGUCGUGAUUCAAAUCACCGAUGAUCAAGUGCCGAACGCACGGCACCUCCGCGUUCAACACACGUACAGCCCGGUGAUGUGUCCCACGCCUUGAUCCAGCAAGGAGAGAGGGAGAGGUUGAGGAAGACUCCAUCCAGCAGCAGCACAACGGCGUGGUGGUGGUGGAGGAGCGUGGCAAUCCUGCAGGGCUUCGCCAAGCACCACGGGAGAAGAGGAGUACUUGAGAGGGGGGGAGGGCUGCGCCAGAACUUCGUGUAUAGCUCCCAUGCGCCUCCCCACUAUAUAUAGGGGUGGAGGGGCUGGUUUCUUGCCCUCCAAGUCCAUUGGGGCGUUGGCCAAGGUGGGAGGAAAGAAAUCUCAUUAUUUCCUUCCCCACCGAUUGUUAUCCCCCCUUUUUAGGGAUCUUGAUCUUAUCCCUUCGGGAUAUGAUCUUAUUCCUUCUAAGGGGGGAUCUUGGUGCGCCUUGACCAGGGGUGUGGGGCCUUGCCCCCACUACCCACGUCCAUGUGGGUGCCCCCAUGCAGGUGGGCCCCACUCCGGAACCUUCUAGAACCUUCCCGGUACAAUAUCGAAAAAUCCCGAACAUUUUCCGGUGGCCAAAAUAGGACUUCCCAUAUAUAAAUCUUUACCUCCGGACCAUUCCGGAACUCCUCGUGACGUCCGGGAUCUCAUCCGGGACUCCGAACAACAUUCGGUAACCACAUACAAACUUCCUUUAUAACCCUAGCGUCAUCGAACCUUAAGUGUGUAGACCCUACGGGUUCGGGAGACAUGUAGACAUGACUGAGACGUUCUCCGGUCAAUAACCAACAGUGGGAUCUGGAUACCCAUGAUGGCUCCCACAUGUUCCACGAUGAUCUCAUCGGAUGAACCACGAUGUCAAGGACUUAAUCAAUCCCGUAUUCAAUUCCCUUUGUCUAUCGGUAUGUUACUUGCCCGAGAUUCGAUCGUCGGUAUCCAAUACCUUGUUCAAUCUCGUUACCGGCAAGUCACUUUACUCGUUCCGUAACACAUCAUCCCGUGAUCAACUCCUUGGUCACAUUGCGCAUAUGAUGAUGUCCUACCGAGUGGGCCCAGAGAUACCUCUCCGUUUACACGGAGUGACAAAUCCCAGUCUCGAUCCGCAUAAAACAAUAGAUACUUUCGGAGAUACCUGUAGUGCACCUUUAUAGUCACCCAGUUACGUUGUGACGUUUGAUACACCCAAAGCACUCCUACGGUAUCCAGGAGUUACACGCUCUCAUGGUCGAAGGAAGAGAUACUUGACAUUGGCAAAGCUCUAGCAAAUGAACUACACGAUCUUUUGUGCUAGUCUUAGGAUUGGUUCUUGUCCAUCAUAUCAUUCUCCUAAUGAUGUGAUCCCGUUAUCAACGACAUCCAAUGUCCAUAGCCAGGAAACCAUGACUAUCUGUUGAUCACAACGAGCUAGUCAACUAGAGGCUCACUAGGGACAUAUUGUGGUCUAUGUAUUCACACGUGUAUUACGAUUUCCGGAUAAUACAGUUAUAGCAUGAAUAAAAGAUAAUUAUCAUGAACAAGGAAAUAUAAUAAUAAUACUUUUAUUAUUGCCUCUAGGGCAUAUUUCCAACAUUUUCCCAAUUCAAGAUAAGAUUAGUUUCUUCACAUCUCUGCAAAACUCGAUCAAGGUUGCUUAAGCAAUCAUCAAAAGAAGAUCCAUAGAUGGAAAAGUCGUUCAUGAAAACCUCAUAAGUCUUUUCACAAAAGUCAGAGAAUAUAGCCAUCAUGCAUCUUUGGAAGGUAGCAGGUGCACUACAUAAACCAAAAGGUAUAUGUCUAUAAGCAAAAGUACCAAAAGGGCAUGUAAAAGUAGUCUUUGAUUGAUCUUUGGCUGACACAGGUAUUUGAGAGAAACCAGAAUAACCAUCUAGAAAGCAAAAUUGUGUAUGUUUGGACAAUCUUUCUAGCAUUUGAUCGAUAAAAGAUAAGGGGUAAUGAUCCUUUUUAGUAGCCUUAUUUAAUUUGCGAAAAUCAAUUACCAUCCUAUAACCUGUAAUAAUUCUUUGAGGAAUCAAUUCAUCUUUAUCAUUAGGAACAGCAGUAAUACCUCCCUUCUUAGGGACACAAUGGACAGGGCUUACCCAUUGACUAUCAGCAACGUGAUAAAUUAUACCCGCCUCAAGGAGCUUUAGUAUCUCCUUUCUUACCACUUCUUUCAUUUUAGGAUUCAACCGGCGUUGAUGAUUACGAACUGGUUUAGCAUCUUCUUCCAAAUUAAUUUUAUGUUGACAUAGAGUGGGACUAAUGCCCUUAAGAUCAUCAAGAGUAUACCCAAUAGCAACGCGGUGCUUCUUCAGAGUUUUCAAUAAUCUCUCUUCCUCAUGCUCUGAAAGGUUAGCACUAAUAAUAACAGGAUAUAUCUUUUUCUCAUCAAGAUAAGCAUAUUUAAGAGUAUCAGGUAACGUUUAAGCUCAAACACGGGGUCACCCUUGGGUGGACGAGGAUCCCCUAGGAUUUCAACAGGUUAAUUGUUUUUCAGAAUAGGUUCCUGUUUAAAGAAUACUUCAUCUAAUUCCCUUUUUUCAUUCAUAAACAUAUCAUUUUCAUGGUCUAGCAAGUAUUGUUCUAAAGGAUCACUAGGAGGUACGACAAUAUAAGCAAGACCAAUAAUUUCAUCCUUACUAGGUAAUUCUUCUUCACGGUGUUGUCUACUAAAUUUAGAAAAAUUAAAUUCAUGAGUCAUAUCAUCUAAACCGAUAGUAACAACAUCUCUUUUGCAAUCUAUGGUAGCAUUAAUAGUAUUUAAGAAGGGUCUACCAAAUAUAAUGGGACAAAAGGUAUCUUGUGGGGAACCAAGAACAAGAAAAUCAGCAGGAUAUUUAGUUUUCCCACAUAAGACUUCAACAUCUCUAACAAUUCCCAUUGGUGAGAUAGUAUCUCUAUUGGCAAGUUUAAUUGUGACAUCAAUAUCUUCCAUCUCAGCAGGUGCAAUAUCAUGCAUAACUUCUUUGUAUAAGGAAUAAUGUAUUGCACUAGCACUAGCACCCAUAUCACAUAAGCCAUGAUAAUAAUGAUCUCCUAUUUUAACAGAAAUAACAUGCAUGCGUACCACAUGUCUAGGUUUAUCUUUAUCACGGGGUUUAGCAAUUCUAGCAGUUUCAUCACAGAAAUAAAUAACAUGCCCAUCAAUAUUAUCAGACAAGAGAUCUUUAACGAUAGCAAUAUUAGGUUCAAUUUUAACUUGCUCAGGAGGUGUAUAUGUUUUAAUAUUGCUUUUACGAACCACAGUUGAAGCUUUAGCAUGAUCCUUUAUCCUAAUAGGAAAAGGUGGUUUCUCAACAUAAUAAGUAGGAACAAUAGGAUCAUUAUAAGUGAUAGUCUUUUCUUCAACUUUAAUAGGUGCACCUACUUUUACUUCUAUGUGAUGAUGAUAUUUAAACCACUUCUCCUUGGGGAGAUCAACAUAGGCAGUAAAAGAUUCACAGAAAAAAGCUACUAUCUCAGAGUCAAGUCCAUAUUUAGUGCUAAAUUUACGAAAAAUAUUGAUAUCCAUAAAAGAUUUAACACAAUCAAAACUAGGUGUCAUACCUGACUCCUUACCAUUGUCGAGGUCCCAAUCUUCAGAGUUGCAUUUAAUUCUUUCCAAUAAAUCCCAUUUGAAUUCAAUAGUCUUCAUCAUAAAAGAGCCAACACAAGAAGUAUCAAGCAUGGUGCGAUUGUUAUCAGAAAGCCGAGCAUAAAUUUUUUGAAUAAUCAUUUCUCUUGAGAGCUCAUGAUUGAGGCAUGAAUAUAACAUUGAUUUAAGCCUCCCCCAAGUUUGAGUGAUGCUUUCUCCUUCGCGAGGCCAAAAAUUAUAUAUAUAAUUGCGAUCACGAUGAACAAGAUGCAUAGAAUAAAACUUCUGAUGAAAUUCCAAUUUCAAUCGUUUAUAAUUCCAAGACCCCAUAUCAUCACAUAGCCUAUACCAUGUCGAUGCAUCUCCCCUCAAAGAUAAAGGGAAGUCCUUCUUCUUAACAACAUCUCCGGAUACACCUGCAAGCUUAAAUAAUCCACAAACUUCAUCCACAUAUAUCAGAUGUUCAUCAGGAUGUUCUGUUCCAUCUCUAAAAAAGGAUUAGCUAGCAGUUUUUCUAUCAUACCCGAAGGAACUUCAAAGCAAGCAUUUUCAUUUUCAUUUUUAUUUUCAGUAGGUUCAGUAGGUUGAGGAGCAAUUCUUUACUCUACUGGUCGGGGUGAAGAUACCCCGAACAAGCCCCUCAGAGGAUUACUUUCUAUGGUAAUAAGUGACAGUAAAUUUCAGCACACUAUAUAAAUUUUUCCUUAUCAAAUUCCACCUACCAAAGGCGCUUCACUCCCCGGCAACGGCGCCAGAAAAGAGUCUUGAUGACCCACAAGUAUAGGGGAUCUAUCGUAGUCCUUUCGAUAAGUAAGAGUGUCGAACCCAACGAGGAGCAGAAGGAAAUGAUAAGCAGUUUCCAGCAAGAUAUUCUCUGCAAGUACUGAAAUAAGUGGUAACAGAUAGUUUUGUGAUAAGAUAAUUUGUAACGAGCAACAAGUAACAAAAGUAAAUAAGGUGUAGCAAGGUGGCCCAAUCCUUUUUGUAGCAAAGAACAAGUCUGGACAAACUCUUAUAUGAUGUAAAGUGCUCCCAGGGACACAUCGGAAUAUCGUCAAGCUAGUUUUCAUCACGUUCAUAUGAUUCGCGUUCGGUACUUUGAUAAUUUGGUAUAUGGGUGGACCGGUGCUUGGGUACUGCUCUUACUUGGACAAGCAUCCCACUUAUGCUUAACCUCUAUUGUAAGCAUGCGCAACUACAAUAGAAGUAUUAAGGUAAACCUAACCAUAGCAUGAAACAUAUGGAUCCAAAUCAGCCCCUUACGAAGCAACGCAUAAACUAGGGUUUAAGCUUCUGUCACUCUAGCAACCCAUCAUCUACUUAUUACUUCUCGAUGCCUUCCUCUAGGCCCAAAUAAUGGUGAAGUGUCAUGUAGUCGAUGUUCACAUAACACCACUAGAGGAGAGACAACAUACAUCUCAUCAAAAUAUCAAACGAAUACCAAAUUCGCAUGACUACUAAUAGCAAGACUUCUCCCAUGUCCUCAGGAAUAAAAGUAACUACUCACAAAGCAUAAACAUGUUCAUAAUCAGAGGGGUAUUAAUAUGCAUAUAGGAUCUGAACAUAUGAUCUUCCACCAAUUAAACCAACUAGCAUCAACUAUAAGGAGUAAUGAACACUACUAGCAACCUACUAGCACCAAUCCCGGACUUGGAGAUAAGAAUUGGAUACAAGAGAUGAACUAGGGUUUUGAGAUGAGAUGGUGCUGAUGAAGAUGUUGAUGAAGAUUGCCCUCUCCCGAUAAGAGGAGCGUUGGUGAUGACGAUGGCGAUGAUUUUCCCCUCCGGGAGGGAAGUUUCCCCGGCAGAACAGCUCCGCCAGAGCCCUAGAUUGGUUCCGCCAAGAUUCCGCCUCGUUGCGGCGGAGUUUUGUCCGAGAAGAUGGCUUAUGAUUUUUUUCCAUCGAAAGACUCCAUAUAGCAGAAAAUGGCCACCGGAGGGCCACCAGGGGGCCCACGAGGUAGGGGGCGUGCCCAGGGGGUAGGGCGCGCCCCCACCCUCGUGGGCAGGAUGUGGCCCCCCUGGUGAAGUUCUUGCUCUCAGUAUUUUUUAUAUAUUUGGAAGACGUCUUCCGUGGAGUUUUAGGACUUUUGGAGCUGUGCAGAAUAGGUCUCUAAUAUUUGCUCCUUUUCCAUCCCAGAAUCCCAGCUGCCGGCAUUCUUUCUUUUUAUGUAAACCUUGUAAAAUAAGAAAGAAUAGGCAUAAGUAUUGUGACAUAAUGUGUAAUAACAGCCCAUAAUGCAAUAAAUAUUGAUAUAAAAGCAUGAUGCAAAAUGGACGUAUCACCACCUCCCGCGCCACGCCGCGCCCCGCGCGCGCCCACGCCCCGCCCCCGCUCGCGCCCGCCCNNNNNNNNNNNNNNNNNNNNNNNNNNNNNNNNNNNNNNNNNNNNNNNNNNNNNNNNNNNNNNNNNNNNNNNNNNNNNNNNNNNNNNNNNNNNNNNNNNNNNNNNNNNNNNNNNNNNNNNNNNNNNNNNNNNNNNNNNNNNNNNNNNNNNNNNNNNNNNNNNNNNNNNNNNNNNNNNNNNNNNNNNNNNNNNNNNNNNNNNNNNNNNNNNNNNNNNNNNNNNNNNNNNNNNNNNNNNNNNNNNNNNNNNNNNNNNNNNNNNNNNNNNNNNNNNNNNNNNNNNNNNNNNNNNNNNNNNNNNNNNNNNNNNNNNNNNNNNNNNNNNNNNNNNNNNNNNNNNNNNNNNNNNNNNNNNNNNNNNNNNNNNNNNNNNNNNNNNNNNNNNNNNNNNNNNNNNNNNNNNNNNNNNNNNNNNNNNNNNNNNNNNNNNNNNNNNNNNNNNNNNNNNCCCCGCCGCCGCUGCGCCUGCUCCCGCGCCCCGCCUGCAUGUACGCAUGAAUCCAUGGCCGUGGAAAAAGAGAAAAAGGAGGAGUAAGGAAAUGGGUGGGCAGAUGGGCCCUUUUUUAUUUCUAUGACAGGCGGACCACACAACACAUGCAAGCGGAUCGAGGCGGACGAGGAGUGGCCAGAGAGUGCCCGUUUGUGUCCGCUUUUGCCUCAAUACGAGACCAAUUUUGAUCCAAAGAUAGAGUGAAACGGACACGAAACGAACGAAAAAGUAAAAUAGGUCUACCGCUGGGCCGCCCUAUUUAUCCGUUCUAACCUAAACAGAUAAGACGAGACAGGAUAGGGUCCCGCCUUACAAAUUGGGGAACAGAUAAAAAAACCUAGAGCCAAGCGGUAAAACAAGACCUUCCUGCUCCUCCUCCCCUCACCCGGCGGCGGCUCCCCACCCCUGCCUGCGCACCGCCUCUUCCUCCUUCUGACAGCGGCAGCGGUGAGCAUGAGAGCAGCGGAAGCGGCUGGACACCAUAAGCUGGCCGAGGUGGUCUACGUCGAGGAACGGCCGCGCCCGACGCCGUCCUCCAACCCGUACUUCCCAACCCGAUGCAUGCCCAAGGAUUCCGGCGCACCUCGAAGGAAGGACCAAGGCCUGAGACGACUUGUCUUGUCCUCUUCUUCCUCUAACAUCUCCCUGCCGGCUGCUGCUUAUUAGGGAGGGAGGGAGGGAGGGGAAAAGAUAGAUGGCGGCGGCGGCUGGACCUGGCUGAGUUGUUUGGGGAGCUGCGCACACGUCGAGCGACGGCGAGCGCAUCCGACGCCGACACACCGAGGUGAGAUUCACCCGUUCCUUCUCUCCCCAUGCGGCCUCCUCCGCUCGGCCCCGAUUCAUCGGCGCGUUCAGACACCCUUCCCUCUUUUCUUCUACCCAGCUAACAAGGCUUCUCCCCUCUUUUUCCUAAAAGCAAAAAGAACUAGGAAAGGAUGACUAGAAAUUAUUGCAAUCGUUGUUGCAAAUAUGUCACAUUACGAGUUCUGGUUGAUCUUUGUUGGUUAAAGUAUGUGUUGUUGUGACCUUCAGGAUAUUUUUUAUUUUAUUACUGCAUAACAAGGAUAUUAAAUAUUUAUUUAUGAACCAGAGUCCUCAUCUCCCUAUCUGUGUCCCUCAAUUUUCUAUUGGCCAAAACAAAAGACGCAAUCUAUCGUUGAAAGACCAACUUGUCCGCAAAAUACUUUGCAAACUGCGGCACGUUGAGGUACAUCCUUGUAUUUUCUUGCUGAUUUUCCGAUGCGAGAAGCGCAGGAGCACUGUCAGUUGCUCACUGAUGUACUCCCUCCGUUCCCAAAUAUAACUCUUUCUAGAGAUUUCACCAAGUGACUACAUACAGAGCAAAAUAAAUGAAUCUACACUCUAAAAUAUGUCUACAUACAUCCGUAUAUUGUAUUCCAUUUGAAAUGUCUAAAAUGACUUAUAUUUAGGAACGGAGGAAGUAUAUAAUAAUCAUUGGUUAUCGUUUUUAUUCAGCAAGGAGGUCUGUGCGAGUUAGAGGCUAUAUGAGACAAGGGCUUGCUCCUAUUAAAUGGAAGGGCCAUAAUUAUUAGUCCAAGUGAUAUUGAAGUUACAUUUGAGAAUUUUCCCUACUACCUUAGGUGAUGCUUUGACUUAAUGUUCCUUUGAUUUGCUUGACGUCUUAUGCUGUGUUUUAGCUUCUUUGUAUGCUUGACUAAUGUUCUGUCACGUAUUUAUACCUUUAUAUAUUUAUUGAUGUCCAUUUAUGCAGCGAGAAUACGAAGGAUGUGCUCCUAUCAUGUUCAUUCUUACAUUUGGAAAAGAAGGGAUUCAUUGAGCAGUUCUCCGAAAUUUCUUCAAUAAACCAGCGAAUUUAUCAUCUGGUCCAUCAGGUAAAUUAUUUUUUGUCAUUGCAUAUUGUCUCUGUUGAAUGAAAUUUGUGUCCCUGAGCCAUGUCAGCUUAUAUGCUUUUUGUGAACACCAUUACUUUACUUUACUUUACUUUACGAAGCCUUUUAUCCCAAACAAGUUGGGGUAGGCUAGAUAUGAAACCCUUUCACGAGGACUUCCCAGGAGGUCACCCAUCCUAGUACUACUCUCGCCCAAAUGGGUUUCAUACCCAAAAGACUGGCUAGUUUUUACGUUGGCUCGCCAAGCCUAUCACAACCCUUAGAUAUGAAACCCUUUCACGAGGACUUCCUAGGAGGUCACCCAUCCUAGUACUAUUCUCGCUCAAAUGGGUUUCAUACCUAUGGGACUGGCUAGUUUUUACGUUGGCUCGCCAAGCCUAUCACAACCCUCUUCCUUUACCCGGGCUUGGGACCGGCUAUGCCUAGAAGACAUAGGCGGAGUUUUUGUGAAUUUGUGAACACCAUUACUUAUAAUUAUCCAUCUCAUUAUGUAUCAGGUUCUGAGAUUUAUUAGGAAACAUUGAUGAAGGCACUUGCCAAACAUUUUGGUGCUAUACUACUUGUUGAUUUGUUGCUGUUGCCGGACGUACUGAGAACUUCAUGAAUACCUUAAAUAGUGAUAUUUCUGUGUGGAUUUUGUUUGAAACAAAAUUGUAUAUGGCUGUCCAUGCACACACGAUAUUCAAUUUUUAUAUAGUGUAGAAGUGGUGUGGAAGUUAAAGCAUCCGUGACUGCAUGUGGAUAUAUUUUGUCAACCCAUGUAACAUUGCCUUUAAACAUGAUUUAGGAUUUUCAUUAUGUGCAACUCUGCCCAGAUUGAGUACUAGGUUGUUUGUUUCGUGCCUAGGUGAGGUCAUUAUGGCGGUACUGAAAAGUGAUGCUCUAAUGUUCAUCUGUGUUAUGGAGUUGGUUCUUUUGAAGUUAAAGUAGUUGUGUGUUCGUAUGAUGCUCUUCUCAGGUUUUAAGCCUAGGUGAAGGCAUAACAUGUGGUAAUCUAUGUUCUUUUCGAUCCGCCUGCGUCUGAUUUUUUACCUCUUCUAGGUUGUUUUGCGUACUGUGGUUGCCCUCUAUUCCACAUGGUCUAUGAGUUGCAAGGAUUUAGGGUCUAGGAACUGACAUCUUUUGUUUCUGUUGCUGAUUAGAGCUUUGGUUAAGGUGCAUUCUUUUUUAGUGUAGCCAGCAUUCUGUUGUUGCUCCUGUGAUAAAUUGUUAGUUAGACUUGUGCUUAACUUGCGAUUCUUACAGAGAUGUACUUUCAGCGAGAAGAAAAGGCCAUAUUUUUUGCUAGCAAGGAUGUCGAUCUUGCAGCUUUCUGCGCAUAGUUUCAUUCUUAUCUUAUAUACUUUAUUUAUAGCAUAUAAAUACAGGAAUAUAGCCGUCCUAUGUUAGAGUAUGAAUUAGAAUCCAAAUCAGCAAUUGUAAAAAUGAACAAUAACUUCUAUUUCGUCAUAUAUGCAAUGUCCCCAAUUUUAUUGUUUUUCCUUUUUGGUUCUAUAGGAUUGCAAUCUAUACUUUCUUUGCCUUACGCUGAAUCUGAUGUUAUUCAUGCAUCUGAUGCCACUCAGAUUUUAGGAAUUUUAGGAUGGAUGGCAAGUUUCCCAUGUUGGAUGUUUCCUUACUUUCUCAAAUCUUUGUGAUAACAUAGGUGAUUCUGUUUCAACCUCAGCACUUGCCUUUCUGUGUUUUAGUUUCAAAAAUACACUAUUUGAGGCUAGAUGACCAUUAAUCACUUCAUUUCAUGUGGACAGAGGACUAAUAUUAUUGUUCCAAGAAGAGAAGCAACCACAUCAGUGUGUAGUAGUCGGUAUCAGUGUUUUCUCAUUCCGAUGAUUCUGAAGCGAGAUGAUUACUUUAUUCCCCCAUUUCUGUGUCCAUAGUCAUACCUCAAUGAGUUUCUCUAUUUCCUAUAGCUCUACUACUAUUUCCAUUGGAACGUGUCUCUCAGUUAUCCUUUAUAUUGUUAGAGUUAUGUCGAAUAUAGUGUACAAUGUAGGUUACAGUUGGACUUGUAGUUGUAUCGUGUUUAGAUAGGAUAUGGAGUCGUGUCCUAGUAGGACACUUGUAUCCUAGGCCUCUCAUAUAUAGCGGGGAUAGACACACGUUGUAACCUAUGUCAACAUAAUAGCACCGGAACGCAGGGGAAGCCGGCGGCAUGUGCCGGUGUCCAGGGCGACCGGGUGCGAUAUUGUAGCGGUGUCAUGGGAAGGAGCGCCCAUAGUCAAGCCCCGCGGAUGUAGCCAUAUCGGUGAACCUCGUUAGCAAAUCUCGGUGUCGUGCUCGUGUGAUUGUUUGGUCCUCAUGAUCUAGGUAUGCCUCGGAUUUAUUCUAACAAGUGGUAUCAUGAGCUAGGUUGUGAGGUGACUGUCUGGUUGAUCUAGAUGAGGUGGAGAUACCGCGGAAGGAUCAGGCGUCGGCGAUGCAAUCGGAAAAUACGUGCGGCAAUGCAAUUGCAUGGAGCAGCGUCGAGUUGGAUUCGGAGUCGGCGAGAUUGAAAGAUGACUUGUAGGCUGCAGCAGUAGCACGUGCAGCAACGCAGCAGUUUGGGCAAGGUACGGUCCAGCACGGAGGCGAGCCAGCGGAGCCCAACACGGGCGCGCGUACGUGUCUGGAGGCAGCGGCAGGUUUGGCGGUUCUCUGGGUUCAAUCGGAAACAGCAAGUGUCUGGAGGCAGCGGCAGGUUUGGCGGUUCUCUGGGUGCAAUCAGAAACAGCAAGUCACGGGAUAUGUUACGAGAAAAAAAGAGGAGACCAAGUCUCCACGUAUGACACGGAAGAUAGGCAUGCAAAUCAACUGGAGAAUUAGAAAAAUCGCAAGAGAUAAUCCGUUGGAAAGCAGAAGGUCAUGGCAAUGCAAAGCUAGCAUUGGAAGUUUUGUGUAAAGGAGCCGAUCCACCACGUGAAGGCCAAAGAUUUUAAUUCUCUUGGUUUUGCUAUAGUAGCAUGUCGAGGUUCGUCCGUGUGCUUGGGGCAUCGCGUGGAAAGCUUAGAUAAUUUUUCACAGGGUCAGCCGUACAAAGAACCAUGAUGCCAAUGGGUACCAGGUUUGAGGUGGAGAAGUUCACUGAACUGAAAACCUUGGGUUAUGGCAGACAAGGGUGAAAGAUUUGUUAGCACAAUGAGGUGGAGAAGUCAUGUCAAUGGGUACUAGGUUUGAGGUGGAGAAGUUCACUGAACUGAAAACCUUGGGUUAUGGUAGACAAGGGUGAAAGAUUUGUUAGCACAAUGAGGAUGCUUGAAGGCGUUGCGGGAAGUCAUGUCAGCUAAGAUGGAAUUAUCAUGUGAUGGAUGAAAAUUCACGGAAGACGAUUUGGGAGCCUUUAGCGUGUCGUUGCAGUCGGACAAGUUCGGCUGGGUUGGACUAGAUGGUCUGAUGGAUCGACGCAAGUCGGUUGGUACAGAAGACGGUGGUGGGAUCGGCGACGACGACAUAGGAGCGUGAUGCUGAUGGUGACCGACUUCUGGGGCGUGGAAACACGUGGCGCAGGCUCGAGUGCUUGUGUGGCUUCAACAAGGCUAUGGCGUGGAGUUGAUUCAAGACAGUGCACAUGAGAUCUUAGAGUCGACGGGGUGCGGGGUGGCACAUACAACCACCAUGGAGUCUCGUUGAAGGUGGAGCUGGAUUGAGAGGCUACGGCGUAAGUGCACAGGGAGUCGAAGCCUAUUCAGCUGGAGAAAAGCGAGUGACACGUAAUUCGGACUGGAGCCCAGUGGUUUGAUGGAAGCGUGAAACUCGUCAUCGGUCGGUGAUGACCGAUGGUACUCUGCAGUGGGGGUUGAGUGGUGUGGGUUCGUGACCCUUGAGACUCGAUCAGGACAGCGGAGGCUCGACGCGGUAAUAGCGGCAAGGCGUGCGGCGCGCAUGGAACAUGGAGACGGGCCAGGGCUCUGGUGGUCAUACAUAUGGUGAGACAACUGCGAAUUUGACUCGGGAUGACUACAAGCAACGGUGAAAUUCCUUCAAGUUUCAGACAAACGGUCAAGAAAGGAGCAGUGAUGUUGAGUUCAGGUAACUCUUACGUGUGACACCCAAUAUGUGAGUUGUUCACUUUCACGCAGGUCCAUGAUUAGUGUGUGAUGGUGUUGGACGGAUACUCUGGAAGUUGGGAGUACAGACUAGAGUAAAGAGGAACUUAAUUUUGCUCGAGUGUUGACUAUGGUCAAGAAAAGAAGGGACUACAAGUUGCAGGUGGAGUCAUAUGGAGUCUUUGGAGUAACAGCGGUACUCAUGGGAUAAGCUCAAGUCCAAUGUACAUGGAAGUUUGACGCAUGGACGAAUUCAAGGUGGUGGAGAAUAUUCGCCAUUGUAUCGAAUAUAGUGUACAAUGUAGGUUACAGUUGGACUUGUAGUUGUAUUGUGUUUAGAUAGGAUAUGGAAUCGUGUCCUAGUAGGACACUUGUAUCCUAGGCCUCUCAUAUAUAGCGGGGAUAGACACAUGUUGUAACCUAUGCCAACAUAAUAGCACCGGAACGCAGGGGAAGCCGGCGGCAUGUGCCGAUGUCCAGGGCGACCGGGUGCGGUAUUGUAGCGGUGUCAUGGGGAGGAGCGCCCAUAGUCAGGCCCCAGGGAUGUAGCCAUAUCGGUGAACCUCGUUAACAAAUCUUGGUGUCGUGCUCGUGUGAUUGUUUGGUUCUCGGAUGAUUUAGGUAUGUCGCGGAUUUAUUCUAAUAUAUAUAAUAUCAUGAUCAAAGGCAAGAAUGAAACAUAUGCUUGAAUUAUGGUGUUAGUCUUAAGAAAAAUAUGUGAAUGGAAUAAGAACUGUAUAUAGUUGUUGAUACAGUUUCUUGCGAUUUAAAUGACAGCUGCCUCAUGUUUGUAUGGAACAAGAGUUACCUACUUCUCAUGAAUUAAUAUAUCAUCAUUUUAGUAGUUCUCUUGAAUUAAUGGAACAAAUAGAUUGGAAAGGCAUGUAUCAAUAAUGAAUGACAUUGCUUGGAAUCUUUUAGUAUAUAUGUAGAAAUAUAGCAAAUGUAUAUAUAAUGUAAUCCUAAUUUACAUAACUUCUCUUCAAGUCCUAUCUGGAUUUGAAGUUAUGAAGAACCCCAUGUUUGUUCAGAUAUGCACACAUUUUUGUCACCCAGAGUCUUUGCAUUUAGGUUAUAUUAUUGAUUCAGGUUUAGUUGUUUAGAUCAAAACUAUAAUAUUGCGUGUAGAUUGACAAAUUAUUUGUCACUUUGUGGACUCCGUUUUGUUCAUCGGAAAGUUUUUUUCCAGUGCCCCAAGAACUUGGCUUUGAUUUUCUUCCAAAAAUGAAUUGAAAUUACUACGAUUCAUGCAAAUUACUUGACAAAGUAAAAUGUUUUCUGCAUAAUGGAUAGAUGUACUAUAUCUGGAUAGUGGAUAAAUGUACCGAUCAUAGAUUCCUAUACAGAUCUGAGGAAAGUAUUCUCAUUUAUUUAGCAUGCACCUGCAAUCAGUCAGAUAUAGGUUACGUUUUUCUGUUAUCCAAAAAAACACAUUAUAUUGCCUUUGUUUUUACAUAAAGAUGUAGAUGUUGAGAAGUAUAUUAUUUUGAGUUAUUUUGAGUCGGUCUAUUCUGUAACUUCGGGUUCUUUUGUUUGUGUGGAUACAUUUGUAAAGAAGUGACAUGGCUUAGUAACCCAUAUUAAAUUUUUCCAUUGUAUAGGGAAUAAAGGUGAGAGAGCAAAUGAGUUUCUGAAGUCAGAUGAGAUUAUAUAGCAGGUUGACUCUUUGUAGUGCUGGUUCAGAUGUAGGUCAGGUUACAUGUUAGCCAAAAAAACACAUUAUAUUGCCUUUGUUUUUUACAUCGAGGUGUAAAUGUUGAGAAGUAUAUUAUUCUGAUUGAUAAUAGUUUAAGGAGCAUUACAAAGGAUCGCUACAAAGAAUUUGAAGGAUUCAAGGAAAUGUUUUCUCAGUCUUAUCCAUCACAUAACUUUGGGUUCUAUCAUUUGUGUGGCACAUACAUUUGUAAAGAAGUGAACUGUAUUUGCAACUCUAAAUUUUAAUCAAUGCAAAUCGACAACUAAGUUGCCUGUUCUCUCAUGUAACUUUGUAAGGCAUGUAUAUUGUGUUAUUGCUAAAUUGAUCUUAUAUCUGCCUUAUCCACGUGUUCACUGUUUAAUAUGUAUUUGAUUGUAAUGGCCGAUAAAGAACUUGGUGGAUUUUUAAUUUAUGUGGGGACAAUAUACCUUUGUCUUUAAAUAUGAUUUUUUAUAUGUGGCAUGCCAUGCACUUAUAUAGGAUAAUCAAGUGACUUUUCUAUUAACUUAUUUGGAAUGACUUUUCCCGAUUUUGUGCUUUCUUUGAACCUUUAAAUUUCCUGGUUACCACCAAUACCAAACUUUGUAAUCUUUUAAAAGAGUGUAACUUCCAUAAUAAAAUAUGAAAC
rnacentral:lncRNA from 1 species